GACGGGGGGGGCAAGUGUUCUUCGGAAUGACUGGGCGUAAAGGGCACGUAGGCGGUGAAUCGGGUUGAAAGUGAAAGUCGCCAAAAAGUGGCGGAAUGCUCUCGAAACCAAUUCACUUGAGUGAGACAGAGGAGAGUGGAAUUUCGUGUGUAGGGGUGAAAUCCGUAAAUAUCAGGAGGAACACCGGUGGCGAAGGCGGGUCUCUGGGCCGAUACUGACGCUGAGGAGCGAAAGCGUGGGGAGCGAACAGG
rnacentral:rRNA from 1 species